GUCGGGGUGGCUCAGCCUGGUGGAGCGUCGGACUCAUAAUCCGAAGGUCGCGGGUUCAACUCCCGCCCCCGACA
rnacentral:tRNA from 1 species